UACGUAGGGGCCUAGCGUUGUCCGGAUUUAUUGGGCGUAAAGAGCUCGUAGGCGGUUCGGUAAGUCAGCUGUGAAAUCUCCACGCUCAACGUGGAGGGGUCAGCUGAUACUGCCGUGACUUGAGUCCGGUAGGGGAGUGCGGAAUUCCCGGUGUAGCGGUGAAAUGCGCAGAUAUCGGGAGGAACACCAGUGGCGAAGGCGGCACUCUGGGCCGGAACUGACGCUGAGGAGCGAAAGCGUGGGGAGCGAACAGG
rnacentral:rRNA from 1 species